UCUUGAUUUAAGGGCGUGGUUUAUGGCCCACCCAUGUGCUCACAUGUGAUUUGUAAUGAGAUCUCUUUAGCACAGAAAAAAAUAAAUGGAACCUCCACCAAACUCAGCAGUAGUUGUACCUCAUGGCUGGCAGAGGCUAGUGGAAAAGAGACGUGUCACUUACAUUAGUCCUGAUAAUAGAGCUCUCCACUCUCGUGAAGAGGUUCUUCAUUAUUUGACAUUAGCUGGUACCUGUAAAUGUCGCCUUCGAUGUCCUUUUAUGUGAGACAAAAUGCUUCAUUUUGAUCCCGCAAGACUUAUUGGACUCUCAAGUGAUACUAUACGUUUCACUUCUAAUUCAUUGUGUUUCGUGAAGCCUCACCUCACUUUGCAUGAAGUAAAGAGACAUCCUUAGACUCAAAAAAACUCAAUCUAAACCCAAGCAAUUCUCAUCGUCAAGUAAAUUAAUAAAAAACGAGCUGUCAUUUCCCCUCCUUACUCUCUCCCUCCUCCUCCUCAUUCUACUAAUAAAAUAUCAAAGCCAACUGAGCCAAAGACCAUGCCCAUUUCCAAUCUCAUCAAUUCUAAGACUCAAACUCCUUCUCCAGCUGGUAAUGUCGUCCAAACAAACGUCUCCUAUCCUGUCUUGAAUCUUCAUGCACUGGUUAGUUACAUCACUAUAGCAACUUCAAAUAAAAGCAGCACAACCACUUCCACUAGUAUUUCAUUGCCUUGGCUGAUGAACACCAUUCAGAAGCAAUGUUCAGUAUCUCCAUCAUUACUUGCUAGUUCCUCUAGUCCUACUCAUUGUCUCAGUUUCUUUUUGUUUUUUCUCCUAUUCCUAAACUAUCAGUUCCUCUCAUAACUUUGUCUCCAAGCUCUGUUUCUUCUGUUGCUAAAAAUAAACUGCUUCCUACGAUGCCUGGCCACACUAAUGUUGAAGGAUUCUCUCCACCUGUUACAUGUACAUUGAUCAAGAACACAAGAUCUUUCAACACAAGUGCUAAUUUAUCACUACAUAUGAGUAGCCAAUCACUAUCAAGUUCUUUGUCACCACCUUCCGCAAUGGAAAUCGGUAACUAAAGUUAAAAGACUAAUGAGAGUAUAAGUAAAGGAGGGAUGAAUGUUACUGGAGAUAUGACUGAGAGAGAGGGUGGUACAUUGAAGGAACAAGUCUCUAGUAAUGUGAGUGAAGGUAAGAUAAGAGGGAGAGAGCACAAGUACAUGAUAACCAGGAGGGAAGGAAAGAGCAGCCUUUAGAUACUGAGUUGGAAAAGUGUGGUGAGUCAUUGAAGCAAUGCUUAGAGUCGAAAGGUCACUUGGAAAGUGUCCAAAUUGAUAGACCUGACGAGCAGAGUAAUGGAAUAGUACUACCUCAGACUUGUGACCUUAAAAUGGAUUUUAACAUGACGCAAUUUGAUGGAAUACAUAGGUUCAUCUCCAAAGAUCCAGUCAGAGAAGCAUUCUUCAUCUCUAAUAGUUAAUGUCACUCCUACUCUAACAGCUGCUA